AAACCAACAGGGAUUGCCUCAGUAGCGGCGAGUGAAGCGGCAAGAGCUCAGAUUUGAAAUCUCACCUAGUGUGCGAGUUGUAAAUUGCAGGUUGGAGUCUCGGGUUAGACGUGUGUGCAAGUCCCUUGGAACAGGGCGCCACUGAGGGUGAGAGCCCCGUAGCGUGCAUGUCGACACCUGUGAGGCCCUUCUGACGAGUCGAGUUGUUUGGGAAUGCAGCUCUAAGUGGGUGGUAAAUUCCAUCUAAGGCUAAAUAUUGGCGAGAGACCGAUAGCGAACAAGUACUGUGAAGGAAAGAUGAAAAGCACUUUGAAAAGAGAGUGAAACAGCACGUGAAAUUGUUGAAAGGGAAGGGUAUUGGGCUCGACAUGGGAUUUACGCAUCGUUGCCUCUCGUGGGCGGCGCUCUGGGGUUUUUCCUGGGCCAGCAUCGGUUUUCGUUGCAGGAUAAGGACAAUUGGAAUGUGGCUCCUCGGAUGUUAUAGCCUUUUGU
rnacentral:rRNA from 1 species